rnacentral:snRNA from 1 species
AGCUUUGUGCAGUGGCAGUAUCGUAGCCAAUGAGGUUUAUCCAAGGCGCAAUUAUUGCUAAUUGAAAACUUUUCCCUAAAGCCAUCCUAAGCAAUAAGGAGUCCCAGGAUCUGCAGGGUAGAAAGCAAAUCUGGCCAGUGGCAAAGGUUUGGUUACACAUCCCCUGUG